GGCGCUACAAAAGCCCAGUUCGACUCGUUCGCAUCGAGUAGGUCAGGGGUUCGAAUCCCCUUAGCUCCACCG
rnacentral:tRNA from 1 species